rnacentral:rRNA from 1 species
GACGAACGCUGGCGGCGUGCCUAACACAUGCAAGUGGAGCGACGAACCGGGCUUCGGCCCGGGGCAGAGCCGCGAACGGGUGAGUAACACGUGGGUAACCUGCCCUGAUGAUUGGGACAACCCGAGGAAACUCGGGCUAAUACCGAAUGUGCCCUUUGGCCACAAGGCUGACGGGGAAAGGAAGCUUCGGCCUCCGCAUCGGGAUGGGCCCGCGGCCCAUUAGCUUGUUGGUGAGGUAAAGGCUCACCAAGGCGACGAUGGGUAGCCGGCCUGAGAG